AAAAAAUUAAUUAUCUAUUAACGUGGAUUUGGACGACAAUAGGUUUUUAGUUUGUGAUGUUUCAUUGAUGAUCAUUUUCAUGUUCAUCGUCUUUGAAUUGACAUGAGGAUAUCUAUGGAAAAGUAACUAAUCUGAAAGUAAGCCAACAUAUCGUUUGUCCUUUGUGUGCUAAAGAAAAGAUUUUCUUUUCGCAUCAUGAGGAAGUAUUACAUCAAUUAAAAAAUGUUAGGAAGUUGAUUACUUGUCAUGGAAAAGUAUACCAAUGGAAAUUAUUUGUUAAAGAAGUAUAAUUCUAAGGGUUUUAAGAAUAAAUUGGUUGAACCCAAAAUCUGGAGGAAGUACCUAUAUCCAUACACAGAAUAUGCCCAUUAAAAAUACUAGUCCAAAUUUGCUUUAAUGGUAGACAAUUAUUCAAUACAAAUUAACUUUUUAAGUGACUGAAAUAUUAAAUAGUUUAGAAUAUGGUAUAACAAUGUAAAAAAAUAUUAUUUUCAGGAACGAUUAGGGCCCGAUAUAUUUGAAACUCAUGUUGGACAUAGUAUUGAGUUGGGUAGAAUAUUAUUCUACGUUAAGUGAGGGUAUCAGAUACCUAUUAUUGUACUGUAUUUUAAUAUAUACAUUAGAAUUGUUGGUUUUUU
rnacentral:lncRNA from 1 species